GUUAGGGAAGAACAAGUACCGUUCGAAUAGGGCGGUACCUUGACGGUACCUAACCAGAAAGCCACGGCUAACUACGUGCCAGCAGCCGCGGUAAUACGUAGGUGGCAAGCGUUGUCCGGAAUUAUUGGGCGUAAAGGGCUCGCAGGCGGUUUCUUAAGUCUGAUGUGAAAGCCCCCGGCUCAACCGGGGAGGGUCAUUGGAAACUGGGGAACUUGAGUGCAGAAGAGGAGAGUGGAAUUCCACGUGUAGCGGUGAAAUGCGUAGAGAUGUGGAGGAACACCAGUGGCGAAGGCGACUCUCUGGUCUGUAACUGACGCUGAGGAGCGAAAGCGUGGGGAGCGAACAGGAUUAGAUACCCUGGUAGUCCACGCCGUAAACGAUGAGUGCUAAGUGUUAGGGGGUUUCCGCCCCUUAGUGCUGCAGCUAACGCAUUAAGCACUCCGCCUGGGGAGUACGGUCGCAAGACUGAAACUCAAAGGAAUUGACGGGGGCCCGCACAAGCGGUGGAGCAUGUGGUUUAAUUCGAAGCAACGCGAAGAACCUUACCAGGUCUUGACAUCCUCUGACAAUCCUAGAGAUAGGACGUCCCCUUCGGGGGCAGAGUGACAGGUGGUGCAUGGUUGUCGUCAGCUCGUGUCGUGAGAUGUUGGGUUAAGUCCCGCAACGAGCGCAACCCUUGAUCUUAGUUGCCAGCAUUCAGUUGGGCACUCUAAGGUGACUGCCGGUGACAAACCGGAGGAAGGUGGGGAUGACGUCAAAUCAUCAUGCCCCUUAUGACCUGGGCUACACACGUGCUACAAUGGACAGAACAAAGGGCAGCGAAACCGCGAGGUUAAGCCAAUCCCACAAAUCUGUUCUCAGUUCGGAUCGCAGUCUGCAACUCGACUGCGUGAAGCUGGA
rnacentral:rRNA from 1 species